GGGUCCUUAGCUCAGCCGGUAGAGCGCCUCGUUCACAUCGAGGAGGUCGUCAGUUCGAACCUGGCAGGACCCA
rnacentral:tRNA from 1 species